GCUAGCGUAGCUUAAUUUAAAGCAUAGCACUGAAGAUGCUAAGACGAGACCUAAGAAACUCCGCGUGCA
rnacentral:tRNA from 2 species